rnacentral:rRNA from 2 species
GGAUUCCCCUAGUAACUGCGAGUGAAGCGGGAAAAGCUCAAAUUUAAAAUCUAAUGGUCCUUGCCCAUUCGAGUUGUAAUUUAGAGAAGCGUCUUCCGCGCCAGACCAUGUACAAGUCUCCUGGAACGGAGCGUCAUAGAGGGUGAGAAUCCCGUCUUUGACAUGGACCCUUGGUGCUUCUGUGAUGCGCUCUCAAAGAGUCGAGUUGUUUGGGAAUGCAGCUCAAAAUGGGUGGUGAACUCCAUCUAAGGCUAAAUAUUGGCGAGAGACCGAUAGCGAACAAGUACCGUGAGGGAAAGAUGAAAAGCACUUUGGAAAGAGAGUGAAACAGUACGUGAAAUUGUUGAAAGGGAAACACUUGAAGUCAGUCGCGUCGAUCGAGACUCAGCCUUGCCUNGGCUUGGCGUACUUCUCGACUUGACGGGCCAGCAUCAAUUUCRUCCCUCGGAUAAUGGCAGGGGAAAGGUGGCACCUUCACCGGUGUGUUAUAGUCUCUUGUCGCAUGCGAGGGGUGGGAUUGAGGAACUCAGCACGCACCUCACGGUGUCGGGGCUUCGGCCCACGUUACGUGCUCAGGAUGCCGGCGUAAUGGCUUUAAAUGACCCGUCUUGAAACACGGACCAAGGAGUCUAACAUGCCUGCGAGUGUUCGGGUGGAAAACCCGUGUGCGUAAUGAAAGUAAAAGUUGGGACCUCUGUCGUGGAGGGCACCGACGCCCGGACCAGACCUUCUGUGACGGAUCUGCGGUAGAGCAUGCAUGUUGGGACCCGAAAGAUGGUGAACUAUGCCUGAAUAGGGUGAAGCCAGAGGAAACUCUGGUGGAGGCUCGUAGCGAUUCUGACGUGCAAAUCGAUCGUCAAAUUUGGGUAUAGGGGCGAAAGACUAAUC